GAUGAACGCUGGCGGCGUGCUUAACACAUGCAAGUCGAACGAAGCACUCUAUUUGAUUUUCUUCGGAAAUGAAGAUUUUGUGACUGAGUGGCGGACGGGUGAGUAACGCGUGGGUAACCUGCCUCAUACAGGGGGAUAACAGUUGGAAACGACUGCUAAUACCGCAUAAGCGCACAGGAUUGCAUGAUCCGGUGUGAAAAACUCCGGUGGUAUGAGAUGGACCCGCGUCUGAUUAGCCAGUUGGCAGGGUAACGGCCUACCAAAGCGACGAUCAGUAGCCGACCUGAGAGGGUGACCGGCCACAUUGGGACUGAGACACGGCCCAAACUCCUACGGGAGGCAGCAGUGGGGAAUAUUGCACAAUGGGGGAAACCCUGAUGCAGCGACGCCGCGUGAGCGAAGAAGUAUUUCGGUAUGUAAAGCUCUAUCAGCAGGGAAGAAGAAUGACGGUACCUGACUAAGAAGCACCGGCUAAAU
rnacentral:rRNA from 1 species